GGACUACAGGGGUAUCUAAUCCCGUUUGCUCCCCUAGCUUUCGCGCCUCAGCGUCAGAAGAGGUCCAGUCGAGCGCUUUCGCCACCGGCGUUCCUUCUGAUAUCAACGCAUUUCACCGCUCCACCAGAAGUUCCCUCGACCCCUACCUCCCUCGAGCAAUCCAGUAUCCAAGGCACUUCUCCAGUUGAGCUGGAGGAUUUCACCCCGGACUUGAACUGCCGCCUACGCGCCCUUUAAGCCCAGUGAUUCCGAACAACGUUCGCACGGUUCGUCUUACCGCGGCUGCUGGCAC
rnacentral:rRNA from 1 species